rnacentral:rRNA from 1 species
UGUUCCCUACGGGAGGCAGCAGUGGGGAAUAUUGCACAAUGGGGGAGACCCUGAUGCAGCAACGCCGCGUGGGUGAAGGAGCGUUUCGGCGCGUAAAGCCCUGUCAGCGGGGAAGAAGAAAGACGGUACCCGACCAAGAAGCCCCGGCUAACUACGUGCCAGCAGCCGCGGUAAUACGUAGGGGGCGAGCGUUAUCCGGAUUUAUUGGGUUUAAAGGGUGCGUAAGCGGGCUGUUAAGUCAGCGGUCAAAUGUCGGGGCUCAACCCCGGCCUGCCGUUGAAACUGGCGGCCUCGAGUGGGCGAGA